CCCUUAGAUGUUCUGGGCUGCACGCGUGUUACAAUGGCGUUUCCAGCAAGUCUGCGAACCCGAGAGGGCCAGCGGAUCUUCGAAUUGGCGUCGUGAUCGGGACAGUCGAUUGCAAUUAUUUGACUCAAACGAGGAAUUCCUUGUAAUCGCGAUUCAUCAUAUCGCGCUGAAUACGUCCCUGCCCUUUGUACACACCGCCCGUCGCUCCUACCGAUUGAGCGAUCCGGUAAAUGUUUUGGAUUGGUGCCGGGGCGGCUAGCUGCCGGUCGCUACGAAAUUUUGUGAACCUUAUCGCUUAGAGGAAGGAAAAGUCGUAACA
rnacentral:rRNA from 1 species